CCAGUCGAACAAACAUGAGCAUUGGGUCUGACAGCAACAACCUGCCUACACAACAGAGAUGUCAGAGGCAAACUUAGGAGUUUCAUCAUCCCUUUCAAGCAAAAGCUGUUUUUGUUUACUUCUUGGACAUUUUAAUACAGAGGAAACAACUGUCUUCGAGGAGUAUGAGACAGACAUUCAGCAUUAGCUCUCGUUCACUGUGGGACUGAAGUCUGUGGCAGCAAUUUGCUACGGUAAUCCGGGCAUAAACACACAAGGGAGCAAACGAGACAAACUGGAUGACUUGGAAUCGACUUGGAACAAGGAACAGCACUGUAGAUGACAACUUAAGCUUACAGUAGGAUAUUCUCAGACAGGUUUCCAGGAAUGGCCCUGGUCUCUAACCUGUUUUCACAUAUGCUGCCAGGUAUCUUAAAACCUUCUGCAAACUCUAAGACCUGAAGUAAAUCCUGCAACCUCUCCAUUGAAAUUUAUAUAUUUCACUCCUGGAUUCAUCCUGUAACCAAUCUGAAAUUCAAGACUUACCAGCCCACAAUCUUGUCCAAAUCAGUAGGUAAGUACUUAAUAGCCGAUAAUCUGCCAAGCUUGUAGCCCAACCUCACCAACUUUGGAAUAUGUCCAUGUAAAAAGUACUACCCUCCCCGGCAAUGUGCACUCAACAUCAUUUUUGUGUAGUACCUGACAAACCUGUGUUGCCAGAUGAUGCACCUACUUGAAUACAAAAUCCAAACAAUCCUCUUGUGCAGUCAACUUGUCAAAGUUGUAUUGUUAAUGAGGACAGGUUUCUUUUGCAACCAUGACAGCGUAUGAAUUAGAAAUAGACAGUUCAACAUGAUAGCCUCUAAUUUUUUUGAGUACUUAAUCCCAAAACAUAUUUUUCUUUUUGAGCUUUGUGCAUGAUACCAUUUGAUAUAGCUUAGAUGUCACUUAGAGGCUUCUGCUUAGUAAGAAUGUACUUAAUCCUUACAAUUGAUGUUCGGCAAUACAAAUAACUGAUUACAAUAAACUGCUACACACUUGGUUUCAGUUGUUGUUGUUGUUGUCUGCCAAUUUCCAAGUAUUUUGGGACUGGUUUGGCCAGAGUCUGCAGACGAAAAAAAUAUAGCUCUCAACACUGUCAUUAGGUACACACAAAAUGUCUCAAUGUUGUCAGGUUAAUGUGGUUGGGAAAGCUUGUGACACAGGCAGGAAUAGGGGACAGAUGGGAACUGUUCGGUCACUUAUAGCGAUCAACAACUACCUUGUUAUCCAGGAAAAGACUCUCAACAGCACAAUAGCUUUAUAAGUAUGUUCCUAAUAUUCCAAUGAGGUCUGCUCUUGUUUUGGACCCUACUGACUUUUAUUGUAUAGAGAAAUAAUAUUUUGUCAGAUCAAACCUCUUUCAGAAGCUCAAAUAUAUGCUAUGUAACCAAUGAGGUUCAUUCUUGUGUGUUACGCAGCAUGUUUGAGCUUCCGGAAGAGGUUUGCUUAUGAUCUAGAGCUUCUGCUUAU